rnacentral:tRNA from 2 species
GGGUUGGUAACUCAGAAAUCGGUAGAGUGCCUCGCUGUUGACGAGGAAGUCGUAGGUUCGAAUCCUACCCAACCCG